UGUGUCCAUAUUCACAUCCAUAUAUAGGGAUCGGAUUCUCUUUUGUAGUAUUACACACUAGCAUGUGAUGAACAUGUGCUAUUGGGUUCAUGUAUAAGUAAAAAGUAGAAGAUUUGAAACACCCCGCAGUGCACACUAAGGCUAAAAAAUAAUCGCACAUCCUUAUAUCUAACUAUUACUUUAAAAUGGAAAUUGAGGCUAACAAAACUAAUGAGUUAUUUUAUAGAGAUUAAGUUCCUAUAGGAAGUGGAGGCGUUAGGAGAUCAUUGUGAUGCUAGCAGGAAGAAUCGCUUCAAAAAUCUUUGCAGUAGAGCAGUUAGACGCAUCGUUUUCCAACCUUGGAUGAUAAGCUCACAGGUAACAAUGCUACUGCAAUGUGAAAUAUAGCUAUGGUUGCAAGAGAUACAAUGCAAAGAAGAGUCGAGUAGUUCCACAAUAAUAAUAUGCCCUCAUGAAGGUCGUACCACAUUGGAUGC
rnacentral:lncRNA from 1 species